rnacentral:rRNA from 1 species
UGAGGUAACGGCUCACCAAGGCGACGAUGCGUAGCCGACCUGAGAGGGUGAUCGGCCACACUGGGACUGAGACACGGCCCAGACUCCUACGGGAGGCAGCAGUAGGGAAUCUUCCGCAAUGGACGAAAGUCUGACGGAGCAACGCCGCGUGAGUGAUGAAGGUUUUCGGAUCGUAAAGCUCUGUUGUUAGGGAAGAACAAGUGCAAGAGUAACUGCUUGCACCUUGACGGUACCUAACCAGAAAGCCACGGCUAACUACGUGCCAGCAGCCGCGGUAAUACGUAGGUGGCAAGCGUUGUCCGGAAUUAUUGGGCGUAAAGGGCUCGCAGGCGGUUUCUUAAGUCUGAUGUGAAAGCCCCCGGCUCAACCGGGGAGGGUCAUUGGAAACUGGGAAACUUGAGUGCAGAAGAGGAGAGUGGAAUUCCACGUGUAGCGGUGAAAUGCGUAGAGAUGUGGAGGAACACCAGUGGCGAAGGCGACUCUCUGGUCUGUAACUGACGCUGAGGAGCGAAAGCGUGGGGAGCGAACAGGAUUAGAUACCCUGGUAGUCCACGCCGUAAACGAUGAGUGCUAAGUGUUAGGGGGUUUCCGCCCCUUAGUGCUGCAGCUAACGCAUUAAGCACUCCGCCUGGGGAGUACGGUCGCAAGACUGAAACUCAAAGGAAUUGACGGGGGCCCGCACAAGCGGUGGAGCAUGUGGUUUAAUUCGAAGCAACGCGAAGAACCUUACCAGGUCUUGACAUCCUCUGACAACCCUAGAGAUAGGGCUUUCCCUUCGGGGACAGAGUGACAGGUGGUGCAUGGUUGUCGUCAGCUCGUGUCGUGAGAUGUUGGGUUAAGUCCCGCAACGAGCGCAACCCUUGAUCUUAGUUGCCAGCAUUCAGUUGGGCACUCUAAGGUGACUGCCGGUGACAAACCGGAGGAAGGUGGGGAUGACGUCAAAUCAUCAUGCCCCUUAUGACCUGGGCUACACACGUGCUACAAU